AACCUAUUUCAAGUAAUCUCCAAAAGGAAAAAAAACAAUGGCCCAACAUUACAGUGGCCAUCCAAGCAGCUCACGUUAGUCGCUCUCAAUUUAAAGGGACACUAUAGUCACCAAAACAACUUUAGCUCAAUGGAGUGGUUUUGUGGUACAGCUCAUGCCUCUGAAGUUUCAUUGCUCAAUUCUCUGCCAUUUAGGAAUUAAAUAAAUGUUGUUUCUGUUUAUGCAGCCUAGCUAC